CACGUAGGGCGCAAGCGUUGUCCGGAAUUAUUGGGCGUAAAGAGCUCGUAGGCGGCUUGGCAAGUCGGGUGUGAAAACUCCAGGCUCAACCUGGAGACGCCACCCGAUACUGCCAUGGCUAGAGUCCGGUAGGGGACCACGGAAUUCCUGGUGUAGCGGUGAAAUGCGCAGAUAUCAGGAGGAACACCGGUGGCGAAGGCGGUGGUCUGGGCCGGAACUGACGCUGAGGAGCGAAAGCGUGGGGAGCGAACAGG
rnacentral:rRNA from 1 species